rnacentral:tRNA from 1 species
GCCUGACUGGUUCAGUUGGUAGAGCAUGGGAUUCUUGAUCUUGGGUUUGUAAGUUCAAGCCCCACGUUGGGUG